rnacentral:rRNA from 1 species
AUUGAACGCUGGCGGAAUGCUUUACACAUGCAAGUCGAACGGCAGCACGGGGGCAACCCUGGUGGCGAGUGGCGAACGGGUGAGUAAUACAUCGGAACGUGCCCAGUCGUGGGGGAUAACGUAGCGAAAGUUACGCUAAUACCGCAUACGAUCUACGGAUGAAAGCGGGGGACCGUAGGCCUCGCUCGAUUGGAGCGGCCGAUGUCAGAUUAGGUAGUUGGUGAGGUAAAGGCUCACCAAGCCGACGAUCUGUAGCUGGUCGGAGAGGACGACCAGCCACACUGGGACUGAGACACGGCCCAGACUCCUACGGGAGGAAGCAGUGGGGAAUUUUGGACAAUGGGCGCAAGCCUGAUCCAGCCAUUCCGCGUGCAGGACGAAGGCCUUCGGGUUGUAAACUGCUUUUGUACGGAACGAAAAGGCUCUGGUUAAUACCUGGGGCUCAUGACGGUACCGUAAGAAUAAGCACCGGCUAACUACGUGCCAGCAGCCGCAGUAA